AAGCUUAUGAGAUUUUACUAUUCUUAGUUAAAGCAUUUACUUUCAUCUUCAAUCACUAGAGAAUAAUGAUGAAUAUUGACACAGUUGAGCCCAUUAAUACAGAGGAUACAAUAAAGAAUGCAAGUAAACAAAAUUCUAAACUGGUCACAAAAACAUUGAAAAGAUUGACAUACUCAUAGCACAUACAACUGAAGAAUAUACAAUGUAACAUUACAUUUUUAGAAUUUCUGUAUUAUUUCUGUUCCUUUAGGUAGAGUGGAAACAAUUAACAUUUGAAGCUAAGCACAAGGAGCUAUAUUUUGUUGGAUAUAUUUCUUAGGAUUAUUGGUUUAAAUAAUAGAAGUAGUUAUAUAAUACACUUUCAGUCAAACUGUCAAUCAAAGAUAGUGUGUGCUCAUUUAUGACCCUUUGUGCUUCUCUGGCUGACAUUUCUGUAGGUAACCUAAUUUAUGACCAGGGUGGGGGUAGCCCUAUCGACUGUAUCAGUGGGUCAUUCUGGCACCUGUGUGUCGGGAUCUGUGGGGUGUGGGGGAGUAGUCCCCAACAAAUGUGUUUGUUAAUGUUGUGAAACCUGUUUCUCCCAGUAGUAAUCACACACAAUGUAUACCACAAUGUAUUUUUCGUGGUAUAAGAGAAUGUUUGUUUCUGAAAUUACUUUUUGUGGUAUUGUUUUAUUUGUAGCUUAAGGAUGUUUGGGUGAAAUACGUCUGAAAAAGUGUAUCAAAUGGUUAAUAUUGGGUAUACGUUUGUGUGGGGGAUUUCGUUUAUGUAACCACAUUGUUAGAAAAAGCAUGAUGUUUGAAUGUGUACAUAUAUGAGCAGAAUAUUUGUUUGUGAAACAAAUGAAAACAAAUGUUGAUUACGUUUUUUGGGAGACUGGUUUGACUUGGAAUAAAAAUUUAGGAGGUAAAACAUUUUUUUUUUUUAAAAGAAUCUGUUUAAAAGAAUCAUACGUAUUACAUGUCUUCCAAACAUAAACCUUUAGGAAGUAAAAAUGAGUAAAAGAGCUGUUUAAAAGAAUCCGUAAUACAUGUUUUCCAAAAACAUAACCCUUAUGAGAUAAAAACAAACUGUGGGGAAACAGUUUGUAAUCAAAGAACAGUAAUUAAAUCUAGAAAAUGCGAUGACGACGGUUUGUGUUCCUUUGAACAGUGUGGUAACAUGGAAACAUUACAGUAUUUAAUUCAGACAAUGGAGGAUCUGAAUAGAUCUGAGUCUACCACUGAUACGUUGUUGGAAUUAUUAAACAUUGCGAGAUCAGUGGCAGACGAUCAAGCAGAAUCAAUUCCUCUUCAUCAACUUCAUCAUUAGAACAUGCUUCAAAUUCACAACAGGUGGGGAGGGGUUCAGACAGCGAAUCGUAUCAUACGUUUAAUCCUUUGGAGCCAAAUUUUGGGUUAUCCGCAUCCGCUAUUGAUUCUAUUGUAAGAGAGGGUGGCGAUAUUGGUGGUUGUACAGUGGUAGCGAGACUCAGAUUUAAUAGUUUGGAGAUACGGCGUCAUAUAAAUGUGUGUGAUAAACGCCCCAGACCUGGCUGCGUACACAAUAUUUCUGCAUGGUGUCAUGGAUGAAAUACUGUCAUUUUCCAGACUGCUGGCCAGUGAUGGGGGUUUAAUCAACAUAACAUUGAGAGGCCCUAGUCUACCCUCUGAUGUUAACGCUGUCUUGUGUGCGUGUUCACAAACCAGAUUGAGAACAUUAUGCAAAGCAAUUCUAAUGUGCGAGCUGAUGACAGUUUGGAUCUAAAUGUGUCUAUAGCUCAUGGUAAACACGGUGGUGCUUAUCGAAAGAUACGUGAUCUAGCCCAUAACGAAGUGGUUGCCAUAAACAGAAUGAAUCUGUUUUGUCCCAGCAAUAUAUCUAACAAUCUGUGUUUUGCAAUCUGUCUGGCCCAUUUUCUACAUCACAAAUGUCGUGUACUGAUCUAGAACUGAUAGCCGAGUCUCUGCAGGACACUGCGGGGUAUUCAGUACAGCAAAAGAUAGGGUUUAAUGACAUUACAGAGUUUGAACAGUUGUUACACAUUAAAAUAGUGGUGUUACAUAGAACAUGUACUGGUAUGUUGGAACGGUAUACGUCCAGUGACGUGCCCCAUAACAAGACCAUGUUCUUGUAUCUGCACAACGAACAUUAUUUCAUGAUUAAGAACCUAAAAGCGUUCAUAGGUACUCCAUACGUGUGUGACUACUGCCACCAUGGAUUUACUAGCCGUAGAGACCAUAGGUGUAAAUACAUUUGCAAUGUUUGUAAUGCACCUGAUUAUCAUAAAUACGCUGUCAAAACGAGGCAAUGUCACGAUUGUUUGCGAUACUGCAGAUCUGCUGUGAUGUCACAAAACUGUCACUGUCAGAAAUGUAAUAGGCGAUAUCAUGUCAAUGGAGCCACCCCAAAACAACACGUGUGUGCAGCAGAACUUUGUAUCCAUUGUGGCAUGGAAUCGGUUAAUGACUGUGUACACCAGUGUUUUAUACAGCCAAUAAAACUCGAGCCACCUAGCGACAAAUACAUAUACUAUAAUUUUGAGACACGACACGUAGAUGGUAAACACGUUGCAAACUUCAUAUACGUGAUUACGUUUAAAGGGGAAGAGUUCACAGCUGCUGGUACAGACUAUAUAGAUCAACUUUUAGACAAAGUUUAGAUCAAAGUUUAGACAGCCUCAUUAUCAGAAUUUCACAUGUGUUGCACACAUUGCUUCAGGGUUUUACAACUUUAUAUUUUUGGAAUAUUUCACAAAAGCAGGGCUAACACUUCAAAUUAUUAUGCAAGGCUGUCCGAUCAUUUUAAUGCUUAAUGCUUUCCCGGACAAGACAUUCAAGCACCGUUUCAUUGAUAACUACUCAUUCAUCCCUAUGCGUCUGGCUGUGACGUCCACUGCGUUAAAUCUAACCUGUUCUGAGAGGUCAUUUUCCAUACCUAUUCAGUAGAAUAGAAAAUGAAGACUACAUAGGACCAUACCUGGCUAUGAGACAAUGACUACGUUUACAUGGACAGCAGUAAUCUAAUUAUUGACCUUACUCUGAGUACUCUGUGAUUAAGGUGUUUACAUGAGUUACUUUUAGAAUACUCCUGUCAUGUUCCCAUUUUACAUGUUAUAAAACAUAGUUCAAUUAACAGCAUGUGUCAUUACGUCACCACACCACGCUGUCCGACGUUUCCUCCAGAAUUUCAUGUAUUAACAUACAGCUCAUCUUCGUUAUGGUACCGUAUACAGUUUUGGGUGUUUAAUUUUUUAUUUUAUGAAAGCUUCAAGUGCAGUUAAUCAUUUGUCAUGCUGUACGUGCAAAUAGAUGACGGCGGAUACAAAUUCUCCAGCAACAGGCCUCCUCUGUACUUUCAUUCGGCAACAGUGGUAGUGGUCCUGUACCAGCUCGGUAGCUGCGGGGAAUACCGAGUAAGAGCUAAUCAAUUUGGCGUGCACAAGUGCACGGUCAAGAAGUUUGUGUACAUGGUUUGCAAAGGAAUGCUAUCCUAUGCAAAAAAUCUAAUCCAGGUUCCUAGUCUGGAGGAGGCAAAUGCAAUUGCUUACCGAUUCGAAAUGGAACAUCACAUACCACAGAUAAUCGGAUGCGUUGGCGGGACGCACAUUCCCAUACUUCCGCCAAAAGAUGGAUAUAGGGACUUUGUUAUCGUAAAGGAUGGCCCUCAUACGUGCUUCAGGCAGUCGUGGAUGACCAAUAUUGGUUCCAUUUUAAGUAUCUCUCUGCCCUGUGAAGUGUUUUAUGACUUGUCUCCAACAAGCACACUUUUGGAGUGUCAAUUGCCAAGUUCCUGGGAGUGCACAUGAUGUCAAUGUACUGUGGCAAUCACAGCUAUGCAAAAGGCCCAUCUACUCCCCAGGGGAGUGAGGGUGAUUCAGGGGAAACCUGUGCAUUUCUUUCUCCUCGGAGAUCCAGCUUAUCCACUCAUGGACUGACUGAUGAAGUGUUACCCACAGUCUCUAGGCCUAACACCUGAACAAGAGUCGUUCAAUGUUCACCUCAGCUCAACAAGAACAACAGUGGAGAUUGCUUUUGAGAGACUGAAGUCUAGGUGGAGGGUGCUCCUGAAAUGCAGUGAUAUUUUCACUUCACUUUCUCACCUUGCAUGAUUACAUGUUGUGCACUGCACAAUUUUUGUGAACGAGAAAAGGAGAAGGUCCCCCAAUGCUGGAUGGAGGAGGCAACAGUUAUGGAGAGAGCCUUACCCCAGCCCCACAGUGCACCACAGAACCAGCACAGAUGCUUAUGUCAUGAGAGAUGCAUUAUCACCAUACAUGGCAGCAACAUUUCCCCUUUGGAGGAGUAUACAUUAGGCACAAGUGGUUAACAUUCAGCAUAUUUGCUUGCUUUGAGGAGCUUGGAAAGUCACACUUCUUAGUAUUUGUUCAACGUUAUUAUCUCCAGUCUGUGAUGUUAACUGCAUUCAAGAAGUUAUUUUAUGAAGAAGUGCUGCACUUUUUAUUUUAAUGUGAACUAGGCAAUUUCUUUAAGUUUCUGUUGGGUUUUGUAUGCCUUAAUUCCAGGAACACUGCACACAGGUUUGAAGUGCAAAAAAGGACACAACAAAAAGGAUAAUAAGAAAGGGACCUCUUCAAGUUCUGCUCACUUAUGGUAAAUAUUACUUUACAAAAAAUAGAGGUUUAAUUAAAAAAAAACAUUUCAACCCCAUCCAGGGUGUACCCUGCCUUGUGCCCCAUGCUCCCUUAGGUUGGCUCCAGGUAUCUCAUGACCCUGUAGGAUGGACAGAAACUGGAUGGAUGAAUUUUUUAAAUUUUUUUAUUUAGUUAUUUUUUUUCAAAAAAUGAAAGGUUUCACUUACUAACAAAUUUAUAUAACAAAAGACAAGGCACAUUCUUUCCUGUAACACAGGCAAAUAUGAGGUAGGCAAACACAUCUAAACUCAAGUCAAUACAGGCAUUCACAAAGUAUUUUACAUAAGCAGGUUUUCUGCUACCUAAUGGCAGGCUGCUCACAGGUGAGUAUAUGAUCGAGCAUAUUCAUUUGCUUCUUCUGACCCAUGUUCAGCAGUGGAUGUGUUUGACACAGUAGAACCAUGCAGGGUAUAGUUAGAUGGCUGUGUGUGAUACCCUUGAAAGUGUGGGGGGGUGCAGUGAAGGAGGUGCAAACAUUGGAUGUGGGUGCUUUGGAAUCCCUCAACAAGUAUUGAUAUAAUGUGCUCGGUGGAACGGACAUUGCUCUCAAUUAAAGCACUAAGGAGUCUCUCCUCCCUUUGCUCGGAUUGCUGGAUUUGGUCUUGAACCCAUUAAUUUUAUUGCCUCAUCAUCUGUAUCAUGAACUGCUGAUGCUGAGAGAUCACAGUGCAUCUCGCAGAUUUCUUUCUUCGAGAGUAACCUAUGUUAUAUAUGUUACCAUUAAAAAAAAAAUAGAAAUGUCAGUUGAAGUGACAGGCUUUGAUAGCAAUAAAAUUGCUAGAAGUCUUAGAAAAUGAAAAAAAUGAUAUUUUUAAGUGUCUCCAUGUUCUACAUUAAUCAUAUUUUAAAUGUUGGGACAAAUAUGUGCAGCAUACAGUAGCUAGCCUAUGUAACAACUACUGAACCUGAUGAGUCAAACCAAUACAUACCUACAAAGAAUUGUCUUAUACAUAUACGUAUACAUACAUACAUACAUACAUACAUAGUGCCUAUUUAAUGGAAAUAGCAUUUACAUCAAAAACAUGUCACCUUGUGUCCUGGGUGGGUCGACAUCUGGUGCUGUGGCUGAAAAGCUUUCCUCUUGAGUACCAGAUGUAUCAGCUGAUUAUGCCUUAUCUUCAUCUGCAUCCUCGUUCAUUUCCUCCUGGUGAGAUAGAGAACUCGCUUCAUCCCCAACGAUACGAAUUCAAUGGUUGUAUGUUUCACGGGCAUGAUUGGCAGGCAUGUAAUCCCAACCAUUUACAUCCGUUAUCAAAAGUGCCCUACGGCUUGCUCGGAAGACAAUUUGAUGACAAAGUCGAAAUAUUAUAAAAAGCGUAUGGUCUGGAUGUUGAGGCAAUGUGGGAGUGUGAUUGGUAUAACGCUAAACAGACCGAUGUCGAUGUAAUGGCCUUUAUGACCACUUACACACAUCCUGAAAGACUGAAACUGUGCAACGCUCUAUUUUGUGGUCAUACUAACUAAUAGAAAUUGUAUCACAAAGCCGACAUUAGUGAAAAAAUAUGAUAUGUUGACUUUACAAGCUUGUAUCCCUUUUGCCAGGCCAAAAAAUGUUACCCCAUAGGACUUCCCCAAAUAAUUUUCAAGGAUUUUGAACCUCUUGAAAAUUAUUAUGGAUUUGUCAAAGCUACAGUGCUGCUACCACAAAAACUGCUUCACCCCAUCCUUCCCUAUAGGACUGGUGGUAAGCUUAUGUUUCCACUCUGUCGUACAUGCACAGAAAAGCAGAAUCAGACAGACCUGUGUGGACACACUGAUGAGGAAAGCAAUAUCAGGCUGUUGGGUCAGCAUCGAACUAUUGAAAGGUGUGGAAAAGGGUUACUUUGUAAUGAAAGUUACCUUUUCCACAACGGUCAGAAACUUUGUUUUGUGACUAUGUUAAAACAUUUUUACAAUACAAACAAGAGGCCAGUGGGUUCCCCGCUCAUGUUGUGACAGAUGCUGACAAGGAAUCCUACGUCUCUGAUUACUUUGAGAAAGAGGGGAUUAAGAUGCAUGUUGAUAAGUUAAGUCAUAACCCAGCACGGCGUUCUAUUAACAAACUUCUGCUGAACUCAUUUCUGGGUCGUUUCUUGAUGCGUGAAAACUUGCCGUGUACAGAACUAAUUUCCGGCCCAGAACAGUUUACACAACAUAUGGUUAUGACGUUAAACACUUUUCAUUCAUGUCAGACUGCGUAGCACUAAUUUAGUGGUGUUAUUGGGAAAGGGGGUCAGACUUGACAUUAACCUCCUUCUUGGUGCGUUUACAACCGCUCAUGCGCGUCUAGAGCUGUAUGAGUUAAUGGACAAACUGGGUGAUAGGUUGUUGCACAGUUCUUGUGAUGUCAUUUUGCUUCUAUUAGAAUCUGCUGGGCCUAUGUAAAUGAUUCGUAGCAGUUAGAAACAGAAAUCCAAUGGCAGUUUUCUGGCUAGGAUUAAGUGUUGUAUGUGCUGUUUUUUAACCUGGUGAUGUCCUAAUGAAAUGCUUUAUUUUUCACUGACAUGAUAAACAUUCUGAAGACUUAAGAAGUUACUAUUUUGAAUGUUUGGUUAGAUGUAGGCUUUGAUUAGAGAUAGAUAUGGGCUAUAAACUGUAUUAAAACCUGUUAUGCCCCUACUUUUUCACAAAGUAGAGCUGAAAACUUUACAAUGUACAUCUGUUCCAUUUGAUUUUUUGUUGUUAUUAUUAAAUGGUAAUUGAUUUUUUCUUUCUUUCUUUCUUUUUUUUUUUUUUAGAACCAUA
ensembl:lncRNA